UGAAUUAAUUUAUAACUUUAUUAAUUUCUACAGAAAUGGCAUCAGCUCGUAAAUUUUCAUAACAGUUAACAAAAGAAGGAAAAGAAGAUUAAUUUCUAAUUUCUUUUCAGGCAACAAGAUAUAAGUUUUCCUGGAAAAAAUUUCAUAAUCAAUAUAUCACUGCUCUACAUAGCAAAAGUUAAGGAGAGCAGAGCAACGCGUCACUAUCGUCUUUGAUGUUAUAGUAUCAGAGCUUUGGAUGGACUUCAAGGUCCAAUUUACAGUAGAAGUGGCUGCAUCUUCCGCCCAGAACCAAGACCAAGUCAAUCCAUUUCUUAAGGAAAAAGCAAAAGCUAUGAUGAAGAAAGAUGACUCCCAAUAUAAUGUCAAGCCUUUCUCCGCCAAAAUUUUUUUUACUUAAUGCUCUGUCAGCAAGUUUCAACACAUCCUAGCAUAUAUACCAGAGGAGAGUUAGCUAACCUCAGGAAAGCUGCUAUGGUAGUUACUUUGGCUACAAUCUGAUCUCUAUCGUAAGUAGUUUGAUGUGGAUCUUCGGAAACACUAUCCAAGCAACAACAACAAGGACAAAAAGUCCAGAAGAAACACUUAGGGAGCUCGUGGAAGUAUCAAAAGAAAAGAGUUUUCAGAUUCGUGGCACAUGAAGCUGAUGGCGUGCAUGCAGCCAAAAAACCUCUUGUUGGCCUAGCAAGACUCUAGCGGCCAACUCCAUGUACCGAAUCUGUCAAACCAUUCUGCACAAUUACUAAUCANN
rnacentral:lncRNA from 1 species